rnacentral:rRNA from 1 species
CACGUAGGGGGCGAGCGUUGUCCGGAUUUACUGGGCGUAAAGAGCGCGCAGGCGGUCGUUCAAGUCGAGUGUGAAAGCCCCCGGCUCAACUGGGGAGGGUCAUUCGAUACUGAUCGACUUGAAGGCAGGAGAGGGAAGUGGAAUUCCCGGUGUAGUGGUGAAAUGCGUAGAUAUCGGGAGGAACACCAGUGGCGAAGGCGACUUCCUGGCCUGUUCUUGACGCUGAGGCGCGAAAGCUAGGGGAGCAAACGGG